rnacentral:rRNA from 1 species
AUGGACGGUACAACGAGUCGCAAGACCGCGAGGUUUAGCAAAUCUCUUAAAGCCGUUCUCAGUUCGGAUUGUAGGCUGCAACUCGCCUACAUGAAGUCGGAAUCGCUAGUAAUCGCGGAUCAGAAUGCCGCGGUGAAUGCGUUCCCGGGUCUUGUACACACCGCCCGUCACACCAUGGAAGUUGGGGGCGCCCGAAGUUGCCUAAGAAAUAGGGUACCUAAGGCGAAACCAAUGACUGGGGUGAAGUCGUAACAAGGUACC